rnacentral:rRNA from 1 species
AUGAACGCUGGCGGCGUGCCUAAUACAUGCAAGUCGAGCGAACAGACGAGGAGCUUGCUCCUCUGACGUUAGCGGCGGACGGGUGAGUAACACGUGGAUAACCUACCUAUAAGACUGGGAUAACUUCGGGAAACCGGAGCUAAUACCGGAUAAUAUAUUGAACCGCAUGGUUCAAUAGUGACAGACGGUUUUGCUGUCACUUAUAGAUGGAUCCGCGCCGCAUUAGCUAGUUGGUAAGGUAACGGCUUACCAAGGCAACGAUGCGUAGCCGACCUGAGAGGGUGAUCGGCCACACUGGAACUGAGACACGGUCCAGACUCCUACGGGAGGCAGCAGUAGGGAAUCUUCCGCAAUGGGCGAAAGCCUGACGGAGCAACGCCGCGUGAGUGAUGAAGGUCUUCGGAUCGUAAAACUCUGUUAUUAGGGAAGAACAAAUGUGUAAGUAACUAUGCACGUCUUGACGGUACCUAAUCAGAAAGCAACGGCUAACUACGUG